AUUGAACGCUGGCGGCAGGCUUAACACAUGCAAGUCGAGCGAACGGCGGACGGGUGAGUAAUGUCUGGGAACCUGCCUGAUGGAGGGGGAUAACUACUGGACACGGUAGCUAAUACCGCAUACCAUCAGAUGUGCCCAGCUGGGAUUAGUCAGUAGGUGGGGUAAUGGCUCACCUAGGCGACGCUCCCUAGCUGGUCUGAGAGGAUGACCUGCCACACUGGAACGGGGAAAAGGUCCAGACUCCUACGGGAGGCAGAAGUGGGGAAUAUUGCACAAUGGGCGCAAGCUUGAUGCAGCCAUGCCGCGUGUGUGAAGAAGGCCUUCGGGUUGUAAAGCACUUUCAGCGAGGAGGCGUUACUCGCAGAAGAAGCACCGGCUAACUCCGUGCCAGCAGCCGCGGUAAUAC
rnacentral:rRNA from 1 species